rnacentral:rRNA from 1 species
AAACCAACCGGGAUUGCCUCAGUAACGGCGAGUGAAGCGGCAAAAGCUCAAAUUUGAAAUCUGGCUUUCUCUGGAAGUCCGAGUUGUAAUUUGAAGAAUAAUUCUUGUGGAAGCGCCUUGUUUAUGUUCCUUGGAACAGGACGUCGCAGAGGGUGAGAAUCCCGUAUGGCGAGGCAAGCGGACACGUGUAAGUAUUAUUCGACGAGUCGAGUUGUUUGGGAAUGCAGCUCUAAGUGGGUGGUAAAUUCCAUCUAAAGCUAAAUAUUGGCGAGAGACCGAUAGCGAACAAGUACAGUGAUGGAAAGAUGAAAAGAACUUUGAAAAGAGAGUGAAAAAGUACGUGAAAUUGUUGAAAGGGAAGGUUAUUACAUCAGACUUGGAUGUAGCUUCAUACGUGUAGACUUGUUCUGCGCGCCACUGAGGCUGUGUCUGGGCCAGCAUCGAUUGGUAGCGCUGGAGAAAAGGGCGGGGAAAGUGGCAUGUUCUAAUUUUGGAGCGUGUGUUUAUAGCCCCAGCUCAUAAUACAGUGUCUGUCGAUCGAGGACUGCGGUAUUUAUACCUAGGAUGCUGGCGUAAUGAUGUAAUAUCG